GCGGGAACGAUCGUGUGCGAUCGUAUCGUGACAGCUUGUGGAGCGGAUUAAAUGCUGUCAUAUUUAUUAUAUAAAUUAUUAUUACACAUUCCCUUACGUUGAUUCUAUUUAAAUUAUGUGGUGCACCACGCCAGAAAUCUCAUGGCACAAUCGUGACCCAGUAUUAAGUAUUGACAUACAGUCCGGAAUUUACAAGACGUCGAAAGGUGAAAUUUUCUGGCGGCUAGCAACCGGUGGUGCCGACUCACAUGUGUUGAUAUGGCAUUUAACGACGAACGAAGGCGAUGGUGCGACUGUAAAAUGUGUAACGGAUUUGGAUCGACACCAGAAAGCGGUGAACGUGGUACGAUUUUCGCCCUCGAAGGACGUGUUGGCUUCAGGGGACGAUGAAUCGACCAUUAUUUUGUGGAAGCAAAAGGAAGAAUGCGAAUUCUUUAUUGGUUGUGAGGAGACCAAAGACAAAGAACAAUGGACCUCUUGGAAAGUGUUAAGGGGACAUCUCGAAGACGUUUAUGAUAUUAGCUGGUCCCAGAACUCUGAUAUGCUAGUUUCUGGCUCUGUGGACAACACAGCUAUUUUAUGGGACAUUCAUAAGGGACGUUCAGUAACUAUAUUAUCUGAUCACAAGGGUUUUGUACAAGGAGUUUCAUGGGAUCCUUGUAAUCAAUACAUAUGUACAAUAAGUACAGACAGAACGUGUCGUUUAAUUGAUGUGAACACCAAGAAGACGGUACAACGGGUUUACAAGGCUAAAAUCCCGACACCCGCAGAUCAUCACAUAAAAAAUAAAAGAGUGCGCUUGUUCUACGACGACACUUUCAAGUCGUUCUUUAGGAGAUUAACAUUUUCUGUAGAUGGAUCAUUAAUUAUCGUGCCUUCUGGUAUAAUCGAGCCUUUAGAAACCACGGAAAAGAUAUCUAAUGCAACCUUAGUAUUCUCAAGACAUAGUUUGAAGGAACCUCUUAUGCUCCUGCCUUCUCUGGAUGAACCGACUAUCGCAGUUCGAUGCUGUCCAAUCUAUUUUAAAUUGCAGGAAAAUGGCCCAACACCUGUAAUAUCACUGCCUUAUAGAAUGGUGUUUGCUAUCGCAACGCAGCACUCGGUAAUGGUUUACGAUACUCAACAAAUUUCACCGAUUGCUGUUAUAUCGAAUAUUCAUUACACCAGAUUAACCGACGUUGCGUGGUCGAGUAACGGUAGAAUUUUAGUUGCAUCCUCGACGGAUGGUUAUUGCUCUGUGAUACAGUUUCAAGAAGGUGAAUUAGGCGAGGAGUAUUAUAAAAUGCCAGACGGUACACCAACAAAGUCUGGUAUUGUAGUUAAUAAUAAAUCGCCUCCGACGUCGAAUUCGGACGCUAAGAAUGUACAUGAAAAACUGGUAUCAUCUCCUACGGACUGUAACGCUAUGGAUAUCGAUGUGGUAGAAAAAGUUCUCUCCACGAGUUCACAAAAGAAUUUACGAUUUAAUCGAGAACAUCAUAAAACUUCGAUUUACGCAGAUUUUUCGAUUGCCGCUAGUGCUAUAACGAUAGCUUUGACACCUGUGAGACUUGGAACAGAUAUUAUAUACCCAGGAGUAAUGAUAUAGCGUGUCACAGUGAUCUGACUGUUUGUUCGGUCAGACAGUAGUAGUUGAAUCGUGGUACGCCCUGACACGUUUUUUUACCAUUAACAUAAUCCACGAUGUAUAUGACUCGUGCCUUGAAUGAUAGUUGAUAAAUUGCAAUAUAAACUUGUGCAAUUCAAAAGAUUGUGUAUAGCCAGUUUAAACGUGUAAUUAUGAUACCUCUUUCAAACCGAAUCGACCGAUUAGGAAACCGUCGAAGCUACGAAGAAAGAGCGAUACUUGGACAACUGAGUAUGAAUAUUUUACGGUAUCCAAAGGCUGAUUUUAAGUUUCUCUUGUUCUCAGCCAAGAAUCCA